rnacentral:rRNA from 1 species
CAUUAGCCUGUUAAUUGUAGGCUGGCAUCAACGGUUAGACGACAGAAAGUCUGUCUUUUUCUUUAUUUCUUUAAUUUAACAUUUAAGUGAAGAGGCUUAAAUUAAACAGUGGGACGAGAAGACCCUAUUGAGCUUUAGGGCUGUUGUUUGUUUAUAAUAUAAGGUCUUUGGGUUGGGGCAACCACUUCUACAUUUUAACAGGAGUAAAAUAAAUUUGAAUCAAGUCUUUUUAGACCCGGAAAUGUUCCGGAAAUUGGAAAAAGUUACCUUAGGGAUAACAGCGUAAUU